UACAGAGGGUGCAAGCGUUAAUCGGAAUUACUGGGCGUAAAGGGCGCGUAGGUGGAUGUUUAAGUGAGAUGUGAAAUCCCCGGGCUUAACCUGGGAACGGCAUUUUAAACUGGGCAUCUGGAGUGCGGUAGAGGGUAGUGGAAUUUCCGGUGUAGCGGUGAAAUGCGUAGAUAUCGGAAGGAACACCAGUGGCGAAGGCGGCUACCUGGACUGACACUGACACUGAGGCGCGAGAGCGUGGGAGCAAACAGG
rnacentral:rRNA from 1 species